rnacentral:tRNA from 1 species
GGGGUUGUGGCUCAGUGGUAGAGCGUUUGCCUAGCAUGUAUGAGGCACUGGGUUCGAUUCUCAGCACCACA